CUGAAGUCUGCGAUCAUCUUCUACUUGGGUUGGAGCAUCAAGCAUGGUGGCGUAACUAAUGAAAAUGGACAGUACGGAACCAGCUUGCUGAAAUCCAUUGGCCGAUGAUUUUUUUUUUUUUUUGAAAUUCAACUGAACGAUUGCUCAAAGUUUUCAUUUAGCUAAGGAAGUUCUCGCUACGUACUUUUGUUUUUGAGCAUGCUCUCGAGCAAAUGGCAGAUGAAGCACAUGCAUGCAUAGACCUUUUUCCUAGCCCUAAGUCCCUCCGAAUACAUUUUCUCCAACUAACACCCCAAUGGUAUGAAACUA
rnacentral:lncRNA from 7 species